rnacentral:rRNA from 1 species
UACGGAGGGGGCUAGCGUUGUUCGGAAUUACUGGGCGUAAAGCGCACGUAGGCGGCUUUGUAAGUUAGAGGUGAAAGCCCAAGGCUUAACCCUGGAAUUGCCUUUAAGACUGCAUCGCUAGAAUUGUGGAGAGGUAAGUGGAAUUCCGAGUGUAGAGGUGAAAUUCGUAGAUAUUCGGAAGAACACCGGUGGCGAAGGCGGCCUGCUGGGCCGGUCCUGACACUGAGACGCGAAGGCGUGGGGAGCGAACGGG